rnacentral:rRNA from 1 species
CAGCCGCCGCGGUAAUACGUAUGUCCCAAGCGUUAUCCGGAUUUAUUGGGCGUAAAGCGCGUCUAGGUGGUUAUGUAAGUCUGAUGUGAAAAUGCAGGGCUCAACUCUGUAUUGCGUUGGAAACUGUGUAACUAGAGUACUGGAGAGGUAAGCGGAACUACAAGUGUAGAGGUGAAAUUCGUAGAUAUUUGUAGGAAUGCCGAUGGGGAAGCCAGCUUACUGGACAGAUACUGACGCUGAAGCGCGAAAGCGUGGGUAGCAAACAGGAUUAGAUACCCCUGUAGUCCCUGUCUCUUAUACA